UCGGGAAAACAGCCUCCCGAAUUCCUCUCGGAAUAGACGGUCCCGUCCAAGUGCUGG
rfam:Hydrogenophaga sp. A37 NODE_34_length_52974_cov_8.40608_ID_67, whole genome shotgun sequence.